GUUGUAGGAGCUUAAAAAAAGACAUCACUCAGCAGCUCAUGUUAAUGGAUGUAGUUCUGUUUAUUUUGAAACUUAUUAAAUGUUUUCUUCACUCAGCCACUAAAAGUGAUUGGAGGAACUGAGAGGUUCUGAAGAUCCAAACUAACUGCUUUGUAUAUGGUCAGGUGGGGUGAGGGAUUCAGGGCGAGGCUGUCCCUGGUCCCCACCCCCAGCAGGAGGCCUCCUGUUCCAGUCUUUUUGGCUUUAUCAAGUCUACUUACAAGGAGAAGUGUUCUUCAGACUCUGGUCUAGAGUCCACCUGGGCUAUGCAGUGAGUGUAAGGAUAAGGCAGCCCAAUUCAGCCCCAGACCCAGUAAUCCAUAUGCUGUGGGGGAAAUGCACCCUAAUAAAAAGAUGCCCACUAUAGAACUUGGGCUUACAGGUUAAUGGAGAUAAAAAUCAUACUUACCCUUAAGAAGAUAGAGACUAAAUUUCAUUUCCUCUCCUUCCUGUACCUUCACUCUCUAUACAUUAUGGAUAUAAGUUCUAUUUCCUUAUUUUUCCAUUUAUAAUGUAUUUAUCAUAAUGUAAAUAUAAAAGGUCACUAUAGAAAAUUCAGAAAUAUGUAAUGAAAACUACUAAAAUCACAUAAUCUCACCAUCCAGAAGUAACCAGUGCAAACCUUUUGGCAUAUUUCUUUCCUUUUUCUAGAUGCACAUAUUUUUUUCCCACAAGGUUGAAAUCAUACAUACAUGUAAACAUAUAUUGUUUUGUAUUUUUAUUUCUCACUAAAAAUUGUAUAGUGAGCAUUUUCUGUGCCAUUUAAUUCUUUUACAAAAAUGUGAUUUAUUUUUUUUUAAUGGGCACAGAAUGAUUCCCCUGUAUUGGACAUUAUGCUGUUCUUUGGGUUUCUCUUUCACCAUAAUGCCUUGCAAACACUUCCUUUUUUAGCCAACAAAUGCAGCUAUUAGAAAUACUAAGUCUCAUGGAGAUCUUUACUGACCUUUUGCUGCAACAACUUGGUGGUAACAGUAUCACCAAGACUUCUCCCUGGGGACUACCACACAACUGUUCUUUCAAAGACAUGCUGACUGCUCCUUACUUUCUUCGUACCUGGUUGAUCAGAGGGACCAGCCACGAUACAGCUACAGAGUGCAUAUUCUCUAGGACCUAAUAAGACUCUAGAGAAGAGACGUAUUGUAAUAUUCCACAAUCUACCUGCUUCAUCAGUGGAUGGGCUCUUCUCUUGCUGGAUGCUCUGGGUAGUAGGACUUCCCCAGUGUGUGGUGAAGUUGCAGAGCUUUGUCAGGACAGAAUUUCGGUGACAUGCAGAUUUCAGCUAAGCUGAAAGAAUGUCUUUCUUUUUGGUGAUUGUUGACAUACUGCUGCUUGUUCAUGAUGCAGAUUUUGAAAUGCCCAGGUGCAGUUUGAUAGGAUUGAUGAUGGCAACGUGGCAAGGUGCAUCUCUAAGGGCUGGUUCCUCAUGCCCAGUGUGACCUGGCCUGACCUGGCAAAGAGGGACAUGAGCAACCACAGUACCAUGGAAGUCCUGGAGGAACAGAUGAAUGGCUUCUGCACGGUGCUAUCUGUCCUGAAAUACCUUGUCAAGUUAAAUGAGAAAUAUGUCUGCUGCUAACAGAGACAAAUAUGAACAACCAGCCCUUCAGAAUCAUCCACAAAUACCCAACGUUCCAAGAGUCAUUGUUUAUUCACCACGCCCAGUGCUCCAUGCUAUAGGUGCCCUCCUUAAGACCCACCACCAGGCUCACCAUUUUCUUUCUUUUUUAUGGAGAGCACCUAUCCUAAACAGAGAAAAAUCAAGGAGGUAACAGGCUCAGCAUGUUGGAUGUUGACUGAAUCUACAGAGCUCCCCUAUUUGUCUCUCUUAGGCCUGAAUGUCAAAGUCUUGUUUCUUUAUCUCUAAUUCUGUUUUAUGUAUAAGAUUUUCUUUCUUUUUUUUUUUUUUCUUAAGAUUUUAUUCAUUUGAGAGAGAGAGAGAGAGAGAAAGUGCACACGCAGGGGCAGGGGAGAAGCAGAGGGAGAGGGAGAAGCAGACUCCUUGCUGAGCAGGGAGCCCGAUGCAGGGCUUGAUCCCAGGACCUGGUGAUCAUGACCUGAGCUGAAGGCAGACGCUCAACCAUCUGAGCACCAGGGCACCUCUCCCUAUAAGAUUUACUUUCAUUUGAUCUUAUGCCUCUCACAUGUUAAAUUCUCUGAGUAGAAUUUUAAAAUCCUAACUGCAAAAAAAAAAAAAAAAAAAAAGGAUGAUUAAAAGCCUGAUGAGCUGUCUACAUUGUGUAUGUUUCAUUGAUGUGGUACUUCAGUGACAGUCUAUUGGAGAGUUCAGGGCAGAGCGGGUUUCCUCUAAGCCACUUUUUCCU